AUCCAGCCGACGAGUCCCAAAUAGGACGAAACGCGCAUCCUGGAU
rfam:Schistosoma mansoni strain Puerto Rico chromosome 5, complete genome